GAGUUUGAUCCUGGCUCAGGACGAACGCUGGCGGCGUGCUUUACACAUGCAAGUCGAACGGUGAACUCGGUGCUUGCACCGGGGGAUCAGUGGCGAGCGGGUGAGUAACACGUGAGCAAUCUGCCCCCUAACUCUGGGGAUAACUGCGGGAAACCGCAGCUAAUACCGGAUACGACCCAGGAAGGCAUCUUCACUGGGUGGAAAGUUUUUCGGUAGGGAUGAGCUCGCGGCCUAUCAGCUAGUUGGUGGGGUAAUGGCCUACCAAGGCGACGACGGGUAGCCGGCCUGAGAGGGCGACCGGCCACACUGGGACUGAGACGCGGCCCAGACUCCUACGGGAGGCAGCAGUGGGGAAUAUUGCACAAUGGGCGAAAGCCUGAUGCAGCGACGCCGCGUGAGGGACGAAGGCCUU
rnacentral:rRNA from 1 species